rnacentral:rRNA from 1 species
CCUACGGGUGGCAGCAGUGGGGAAUAUUUCGCAAUGGGGGCAACCCUGACGCAGCAACGCCGCGUGAUUGAAGAAGGCCUUCGGGUUGUAAAGAUCUUUAAUCGGGGACGAAUUUUGACGGUACCAGAAGAAAAAGCUCCGGCAAACUACGUGCCAGAAGCCGCGGUAAUACGUAAGGAGCAAGCGUUAUCCGGAUUGACGGGGUGUAAAGGGCGGGUAGGCGGGCAUGCAAGCCAGAAGUGAAAUCUGGGGGCUUAACACCCAGACUGCUUUUGAAACUGGGUGUCUUGAGUUAUGGAGAGGCAGGCGGAAUUUCCAGUGUAGCGGUGAAAUGCGUAGAUAUUGGGAGGAACACCAGUGGCGAAGGCGGCCUGCUGGACAUUAACUGACGCUGAGGCGCGAAAGCGUGGGGAGCAAACAGGAUUAGAUACCCGUGUAGUC